CUCUCGCUGCCCUCGCCGGGCCCAGCCGCCCGGAGGCCCCGCGGCCGGCGGUCGCGACGGGGGCGACGCGGCGACGGCGGCUCGGGGCGCGGCGCUUGCCCGCGCUAGCCAGCAGGCCGCGAUCGGGCGCCCGUGCCCAGCCUCGGCCUGGCCGCCGCCGCCGCCGCCGCGCCGCGCGUAGGGAGGAAGAGGAAAUGCCCGGCGCCGGCUCCCGCUGCUCACCGGCGCGGCCCGAGGGGCGCCCGCCCGCCACGCCGCCCCUAGCCCCGCCUGGGGCGGGCCUAGGCCGGGCUAUAGGGGCCAGGGCCUUGGGCUGCGCCGGCCGCGGGAGGUGGGUGCUUCUCGGCGGCGAGCUGCGACUCGGAGAGACUCCUGUCCGCAGGUGCAUGGCUUCCGGGCGGGCCUCGGGCAGCGAGCUCCAGCCCCACUGAGAGGCCGCGGACCGCCUGGGGACUUGUGUUUGUGUGUAUUUUAAGCCAACAGCCCAGAAAGGGAAGGCGACUGGCCCCCGGUCUUCGCCAGUGUUUCCCGGCCGGGUUACUGGUGGUCAGGAGGGAAGCCAGGAGGCUGCCGGGCUCCGAGGCCGAUUCCUUGCGAACCAUCUCCGUUAAAGACUCCGCGCCGGGCAGCCCGGGAGUCCGGCGGUACCCGCGCAAACUUUGUCCCAGCGCCUUGGCUCACCGUGAAUGCCCUGCCUUGAAAAUUUGGAGUUUUUUGUUUCCUGAAAGUGGUCUGCUUUUCCGAUUUUAUCUGUGUUUUCCAUUUUUACCUUCUUAUUGUCAAUUUGUUUUCAGGCAUUAUUAAUUCAACAAAUCUUUGUACUGCCCCUUACCACGUGUCGAUGGUUCCGUGGUUUGGUGGAAAUAGAUCGCGCUUUGAAGUCAAGACGGAUCGGCCAUGGAAUUUUGGCUCUGAGAUCCUCUGUGUAACCGUGGAUGAGCUACAAGGCCUGCUGAGCCUCCAUUUGUCUGGUUUUUGUGGUUGUUUUAAUUUAUCUUUUUCCAUUUGAAGUUGUGGGUUUUGCAUAAAAUUGAACUGUUACCAGGCUAAGUCAACUGAAAUUGGAAUCUGGGGUACUGCUUGCUUUGAGGUUACUCUUAUACUGUCCACCAUUUGCUGGCUGUGUGAUCUCUAAACCUCUCUGUGCCCUGACUUUUCUAUCUUUAAAAUGGACGUAACAACAGAGGUUUAAUAAUAAGAGGUUUGGAGGUUAAGUGCUAAAAUGCAUAUAAAAUACCUAGCACAGGACACAGUAAAAAGAUUGUUACCGUAUUUCAUUGAAUCUGGUUUUAAGACACUUCCUGAUUUCAAAGAAACUAAAAGCUCAUCUUGAAGUCCAGGAAGUAGGUUUUGGGUCACUCAGAACUCCCAAGGGACUGUAUUUGGUAGUAACUAGUGAUAAACAAACUGGAGUUUAAAUGAGGACUUUGUCACCAGAGAUAUUUUUAUUGCCUGUAUGGAGCUCCUGCACAAAUUUAUUCCAUUUCUCUUGUAGAAAGAGAUCCAACCUGGCCGUAAAUGGGGUGUGGUGGAGUAGAAAGAAGGGUAUUAAGUAAAGCUCUGUGUCGAUGCCUUUCUGAGCAUUUUACGGUGUUGGCAUAUGUGAUCCUGGGUAUCAGGAGCCUCAAUUUCUUGGGCUGUAAAAAUGGGGAGAACAACGCUGAUCCCAUUGUCUCCUGAUGGGUAAGUGAUGUCUAUAAAUAAAUUGUAUAGAGAUUAAGGCAUUAUCAGUGCUGUAGUCUGAUAAAAUGGUGGAGCAGAUAGGAAAGCCUACAACAGUACUGAACUGCAGGAGGGACUAAGAGUAAAUAUAGAGAUUUCAUUUGCUUGGUUUUGCAGAGGGUUAGCUAACUAAACAGAUAACUUUGUUUUCGACAGUUACUUCAUUUUUUUCAGUCAGGCAAGAGUAAGGAGAGAGUAACUAAACCAUUUUUUUUCCUCUUUAAAUAAGAGUAAGCAGAAAUAUUAUGGUUAUUUGGGGUUUUCAUGACCUUCAUUCACUUAGCGGUCAGGCUGUUCAAUUUAAAACAACCUUUUGCUUGCUGCCCUGCCAUAUGGGAAAUUUCAUUUCCAAAAAAAGGAUUAAUUUCCAGCCUGGGCGAAACCCUAUCUCUACGGAAAAUAUAAAAAUUAGCGGCCAGGAGCAGUGGCUCAUACCUGUAAUCCCAGCACUUUGGGAGGCCGAGGCAGGUGGAUCACGAGGUCAGGAGUUCAAGAUCAGCCUGGCCAAGAUGGUGAAACCCCAUCUCUACUAAAAAUACAAAAAUUAGCCUGAUGUGGUGGCACGCGCCUGUAAUCCCAGCUACUUGGGAGGCUGAGGCAGAGAACUGCUUGAACCUGGGAGCAUUCCAGCCUGGAUGACAGAGUGAGACUCCGUCUCAAAAAAAAAAAAAAAAUUAGCUGGGCGUGGUGGCAUCCGCCUUUGGUCCCAAAUACUCAGGAGGCUGAGGUGGGAGGAUUGCUUGAGCCCAGGAGGUCGAGUCUGCAGUGAGCCGUGAUUGUACCACCACAUCCUAGUCUGAGUGACAGUGUGACACUCUGUCUCAAAAAAGAAAAGAAGAUCAAGAAGGAUUAAUUUAAAUCCUUAUACCAAAUUGUCUACCAAAUGAUUUUUGUUCCACUCCAGAAAUGUUUUCCUCCAGUCCCUUCCUCUCUCUGCACCCUCCUGAGUUCUCCUUUCUUCUGUGGACAACUGUAACUAAUGCGUGUUUUUGCUAGGCUGACCCUUCUUUCAUACUAUGGCCCAAUUAUGUUUUUUCAAAUAAGCUAAUGGAUGUAAGCACUGGUGAAAUCUGAAUAAGGUCUGUAGUCUACUUGAUAGUAUUGUACCAAUGUCAGUUUCCUGGCUUUUGAUAUUUUUCCAUAGCUUUGUAAGAUGUUCCCAUUUGAGAAAGUGUACCUGGGCCCUCUUUGCAACUACCUAUGGGUAAAUGAUUAUUUCAAAGUAAAAAAUUAAAGUAUAGGGACAGAAAUUAGAUCAAUGGUUACUGGCAACUGGAGCUGGGGAAGGGUGGACUGAUCACACUUUUUGAGAUGAUGAGAAUAUUCUCUAACUUGAUUGUGGUAUUUACAUUACUGGAUGACUCUGUGAAUCUGUCAAAACUCAUAGAACUAUACACCUAAAAGGGUGGUUUUUUUUUUUUUUUUUUUUUUUAGAUGAAGUCUCGCUCUUGUCCCCCAGGCUGGAGUGCAAUGGUGUGAUCUCGGCUCAUUGCAACCUCCGCCUCCCGGAUUCAAGCGAUUCUCCUGCCUCAGCCUCCCAAGUAGCUGGGAUUACAGGUGCAUACCACCACGCCCGGCUAAUUUUUUGUAUUUUAAGUAGAGGCGGGGUUUCACCAUGUUGGCCAGGCUGGUCUCGAACUCCUGACCUCAAGUGAUCUACCCGCCUCGGCCACCCAAAGUGCUGGGAUUACAGGCGUGAGCCUCCGCACCCAGCCAAAGGGUGGUUUUUACUUCUAUAUAAAUUAUACUUCAGUAAACCUGAAUUAAGAUAAGGAAAGCAAGCUCUUGGCCGGGUGCAGUGGCUCACGCCUGUAACCCCAGCACUUUGGGAGGCGGAGAUGGGCGGAUCACGAGGUCAAGAGAUCGAGAGCAUCCUGGCUAAAUGGUGAAACCCUGUCUCUACUAAAAAUACAAAAAAAUUAGCCAGGCGUGGUGGUGGGCAUCUGUAGUCCCAGCUACUUGGGAGGCUGAGGCAGGAGAAUGGCGUGAACCCGGGAGGCGGAGCUUGCAGUGAGCCGAGAUCGCGUCCAGACCUGGGUGACAGAGCGAGACUCCCUCUCAAAAAAAAAAGAAAAGCAAGCUCUCAUCACCCCAGCCUCCUGGGGCUUGUAGGAUGAAAUGUAACUUUAAGGCCCAACGUGCUUUUCCAGCAUACGGACUCUUCCUGCCAGCGCACCCUGGGCUUCCUUGUACUGUAUUAAUUCCUGCCCCUGUGCCUUUGUGCAUACUCUUCCUUCUGCUUAGGUGGAGCAUAGGAAAGUAAAGUCAAAAUUCGGGUUCCCUGUACUCCUGUAAGCCUUCCCUGCCUCCCUUAGGCAAACCAGUAAUUUCCUAACUUCCUCCUCUGCUCACUCAUGUCGUGCUGUAAUUUUUAAUUCGUUUUCAUCUUUUUUCUCAACUAGACUCCUCAAAGGCAGCGACCACAUUGUUCUUUGUCUCUGGGAUCCAGUAGUGUUGAAUGAGUGAGUGAAUGAACAAAUUAUUUAUUUAUUUAUUUAUUUAUUUAUUUUUUGAGACAGAGCCUCUCUCUGUCGCACAGGCAGGAGUGCAGUGGUGCGAUCUCGGCUCACUGCAACCUCUGCCUCCCGGGUUCAAGUGAUUCUCCUGCCUCAGCCUCCUGAGUAGCUGGGACUACAGGAGGGUGCCAUGACGCCUGGCUAAUUUUUGUAUAUUUAGUAGAGACGGGGUUUCACCAUGUUGCCCAGGCUGGUCUCAAACUGCUGGCCUCAGGUGAUCCACCCACCUCAGCCUCCCAAAGUCCUGGGAUUACAGCCAUGAGCCACCAGGCCCGGCUGUGAAUGAUGUAGAGCUGAAAGAAAAACUAAUGGUUCUCAAAGUGCGGUCCAAGGUCCCCAAGAGGUGAGGUGAGGUGCUAGGAUUUUCAUGCUUUCAGCAAACAGCACAUCCUAACAGAUUGAAUGCAGAAGAAGAGAAUCCAGCUGUCUUCAUUUAAGCCAAACAUUAAAGAGAUCUGAAAAACAAUAUCGUACUUCCACAUUUUUUGGGAAAAAAUAAGUUAUUUUUCUUUAAAAUGUGUUCUGUUACUAGAUAGUGGGUUUAUUACUGUUUUUAAGUGACUACGUUUUUGUUUGUUUGUUUGUUUGUUUGAGACAGUCUCAUUCUGCCACCCAGGCUGGAGUACAAUGGCGCCAUCUCGGCUCACUGUAACCUCUGCCUCCUGGUUUCAAGCAAUUCUGCCUCAGCCUCCCAAGUAGCUGAGAUUACAGGCCCCCGCCACCACGCCUGGCUAAGUUUUUUGCAUUUUUAGGAGAGAUGGGGUUUUGCUGUGUUAGCCAGGCUGAUCUCAAACUCCUGACCCGCCUUUGCUUCCCAGAGUGCCAGGAUUACAGGCGUGAGCCACCACGCCCAGCCGACUAUGUAUUUUAAAAAUAUUUUCUCAGUUUUCUAAUAUGAAAAAUAUUGACAGAUAUAAUACUUUUUUUUAAAGUUCUUAGGGCUGGGCACAGUAGCUCAUGCCUGUAAUCCCAGCACUUUGGGAGGCCAAGGCGGGCAGAUCACGUGCAGGAGUUCAAGACCAGCCUGAUCAACAUGGUGUAUCCCCAUCUCUACAAAAUAUGCAAAAAAUAAUUAGCCGGGUGUGGUGGCACACACCUGUAAUCCCCGCUACUCAGGAGACAGGAGAAUUGCUUGAACCUGGAAGGCGGUUCGCUGGAAGGCAGUGAGCCGAGGUCGCACCACUGCACUCCAGUCUGGGCAACAGAGCGAGACUCUGUCUCAAAGAAAAAAAAAGGUUCUUUGGCGUCUUCGACAAUUUUUAAGAAUGUAAAAAGAUUCUGAGACCAAAAUAUUUAAGAAUCUGUGCCUUAGAGACUGUUAACAAAGCCCUCAUUGUUCAAAUGAGAAAUGGUCAUGAUGCUGACAUUUAGUGCUCUGGUACAUGUGGCUGGCCUUAUUGUAAGCACUUUACUUGAGGAUACUAUUAUGUCUUCAUGUUACUGAUAAGGCAAGUGAGGCACAGAGAGGUUAAAUUGACUUGCCCAAGGCCAUGUAGCUAGUCACUGGUGGAACCACAAUUUGAGGCCCUGAUGUUGGCUACAGUUUUCUGCCACUUCCAUGAAGUCUGGAAAGGGUCAGAAGGCCCAAAUGCCAUCUGGUUACUUCACCAGUUCUCUGUUAUCUAUCAAUCUCACAGUCACUAUGCAGGAGUCACUGAGGCCUCAAUUCUGCUUUGCAGUCUUCAUCCCAAAUUCUGCCACCCUGAAUGUUUUCAAGUAUGGCCUUACAAUUGGCCUUACAAGGCCUUGAUUUUUUUCAAAUCUGUGUGCACUUCCACUUCAACCACCCAUUCCUCUCUUGUGACCAUGCUCGAAACUCUAAUAAUCUGUCUUAUUGUAACUUCCUAUUUUUCAGUUUUCUUACUCUCUACCACUAAACCUUUUUUUUUUUUCUUUUAAUGUCCAGCGUCUUGCUGUGUCACCCAGGCUGGAGUGCAGUGGUGCGAUCAUGGUUCACUGCAACCUUGAACUCCUGGGCUCGAGCAAUCAUCUUUAUUUAUCAGUGGACACUGAGUAGCUGGGACUACAGGCGUGCACCACUGCACCCAGCUAAUUUUCUUAUUUUUUGUAGAGACAAGGGUCUCGCUUUGUUACCUAGGCCAGUCUUGAACUCCUGGCUUUAAGUGAUUCUUCCACCUCAGCCUCCCAAAGUGCUGGAAUUAAUAGGUAUGAGCCACCACGCCUGGCCUAAUCCUUGAUGUUUGCACUUGCUGUUAUGGUUUUUGUUUGUUUUUCUGAGACAGAGUCUUACUCUGUUGCCCAGGCUGGAGUGCAGUGGCCUGAUCUCAGCUCACUGCAACCUCCGCCUCCUGGGUUCAAGUGAUUCUCCUGCUUCAGCCUCCCGAGUAGCUGGGAAUACAGGCGCCUGCCACCACGCCCGGCUAAUUUUUAUGUUUUUAGUAGAGGCAGGGUUUCACCAUGUUGGCCAGGCUGGUCUUGAACUCCCCACCUCAAGUGAUCCAUCCGCCUCGGCCUCUCAAAAUGCUGGGAUUACAGGUGUAAGCCACCACGCCCAGCCGGUUUUUUCUUUUGUUUUUCCCUUUUUAACCCCAUUCUCUACCUUAUGCAACUGGUGCCCUGUGGUCAACUCAGACUUCUCAUUCAUGCCCUCAGCUCCUUAAACCCCUCAUCCUCAAACUCUACCAGCUUUGCAAGCUUCCAAGCCUGAAUUGCCUGACUCAGUUUAUCCCUGUGUGUAUCUGCUUGGGGUGUAGAAUAUAACAACUAAAAAUGAUAGAAGUGUACAGAUUGUGGCUGUUAUGAAUCUAGGGCAUUCAACUGCGGUUGGACCUCAGUGCCAUUGAGCAAUCUUUGUCUUUGGUCAGAACCCUCUUCUAUAAACAUUCACCACUUGGUUCCAACUGCUUACUCACCCACGUGCCUAAUAGAUAACCUCACCUCCUAAUUCACAGAGGGAGGAAAGUUCAAAAUGCAGGAACUUUCACUUCCCACUGUGAGCCUCCAAGGGAGUGUGUACAUCUGCAUCCUGCUGCCUCAUGCAUGGAGAUAGCCUUUCUGUUCAACCUGUCAUCUGUUAUGAUCCCACUUCAUCCCAUCAAUGGGAUCUUACUCCUUCAGCCACCCCCUUGGCACCUGUACUUUCAGCUGCUCAGCCUCUACUGGUCCGUUGCCCUCAGCCAAAAAACGCCCCUUCAACCCUGCACUCCUGGUUAUUACCCUAUUGUUUCUCUCUGUGGACAAUCUUCUUGAAAGAAUUGUCACUCCCCUUCCUCAGCUUAGAAACUGGUUUAUCUGAUUGCCUGACUUUUGGUGCUGUUGGUUACCCUCUCAUUUUCUGGGAUACCACUAUCAUCAUCUUCUCUUUCAUGUCUUUGCUGUUUUUGUAUCCCCUAUUGGAUUGAGCAAAGUCAUCAGCCUAGUCAAGUCACCCCCCAACAAGAUGAAACACAACAGUCAUCCUAGACUCCUUCCUCCCAUUUAUCUUCCAUAGCCAAUUGCCAAAUCCUGUGAUGUUUACCCAUUAAACAUCUGUCAAAUCAGUCCCUUUCUCUUUAUUCCCAUGGCCACCAAACCAUUCCAGGCUGCUAUCAUCUCUUCUCGAGAUGUGGAGUGAUCUUGGCUCCUCACUAUCAUACUCCCUUAUGUGGUCCUUUGUACUGACCUGAGCAAUAAUGAUGCUGAAGGCCCCACUGUUCGCUGCCAGCCCACAGAGAAGAAGUCUAUGCCAGAGAACGAGUGACCAGAAGAGGCUAUGCUCACAGAAGUCAGAGAAGCAGAGUCUUCAGGAAGGGAGAACAUCGGUGUCCACCAAGCAGAGAUACCUCAUGAGAUAGAUUGAAGUGUGGCCCCUGGAUUUCAGAAAUGGAUGUCAUCUGUCCAUGGAGGAGUAGGUAGUCCCCAAUAAAUACAUAUUUAUUGAGUCUUCUGGGUCCACUGAGGACACAAUCAUGAAAAAGAAAACUAUGUCCCCAUCCUGGAGGUGUUUACAUUCUGGUGACAAAACUAAUUGAAGCAGUUCUGAUUGAUGUUUUGAGAGCUUAUGAUAAGAAGCUUGGCAGAGGCCGGGCAUGGUGGCUCACACCUGUAAUCCCAGCACUUUGGGAGGCUGAGGCAGGUGGAUCACUUGAGGUCAGGAGUUGAAGACCAGCCUGGCCAACAUGUGAAACCCUGUCUCUACUAAAAAUAACAAAAAUUAGCUGGGCGUCAUGGCACACUCCUGUAAUCCCAGCUACUUGGGAGGCUGAGGCAGGAGGGUCACUUGAGCCCAGGAGCUGGAGGUUGCAGUGAGCCAAGACUGUGCCACCACUCAACAGAGUGAGACUCCGUCUCAAAAAAAAAAAAAAAAAAAAAAAAAAAAAAAGCUUGUCAGAGAAAUAAAUGAGAAAUUAAAAGAUGGUAAGUGGAGGCCCCAGAGUGAAGGGAAGUGUUUUUGGUUUUAGGAAUAGGAGAGUCUAGUGUGUUUAGAGGUUUAGGGGAAGGAUCCAGGAGAGGCAGCAGAGAACUGAAGGGUGUAUGUGUGUGUGGAGCAGGGAGGUGGGGGUGGUGAGGGUGGGAGAUGGAGGGGAGAAGGAGCCCAGAUAAAUUUAGCUUCCACCAGGAGCAGGAUGCCUCUUCCUCUGCUGGUGCUAUAGGAAGGUUGCCAAUGGGCCGGGUGCGGUGGCUCAUGCCUGUAAUCCUAGCACUUUGAGAGCCCAAGGUAGGUGUAUCACGAGGUCAGGAGUUCAAGACCAGCCUGGCCAGUAUGGUGAAACCCUGUCUCUACUAAGAAAAUACAAAAAUUGGCCAGUGACGGUGGCUCGCACCUGUAAUCCCAGCACUUUGGGAGGCCGAGGCGCGUAGAUCAGGAGGUCAGGAGGUCAGGAUUUCAAGACCAGCCUGGCCAAGAUGGUGAAACCCCAUCUCUACUAAAAAUACAAAAAUUAGCUGGGCAUGGUGGCUCGCGCCUGUAGUCCCAUCUACUCAGGAGGCUGAGGCAGGAGAAUCGCUUGAACCCGGGAGGUGGAGGUUGCAGUGAGCCGAGAUCGUGCCACUGCACUCCAGCCUGAGAGACAGAGUGAGACUCUGUCAAAAAAGAAAAAUUGCCAGUGGAGAUAAAGGUGUCCAUUUGGGUAGGUCAGGAAGCUGUGGUAUUCAUGCCUCAUGGCCUUCAUUUUCUUAGAGCGUAGGGUAAAAUCAUGCCAUUUUUUGCCUCUGUGCCUCAUAAGUUUGUACUCCUUCCUCCUUUAAAAAUCAGCUGUAAGAGCUGGAUGUGCUGUAAGGGCUGGACGUGGUGGCACAUGCCUGUAGUUCCUACUUGGGAAGCUGAGAUGGGAGGACCACUUGAGUCCGGGAGGUUGAGGCUGCAGUGAGCUAUGAUUGCACCACUGCUCUCCAGCCUGGGUGACAGAGCAACACCUUGUCUCUUGGGAAAAAAAAAAAAAAAAAAAAUCAGCUCCAGACCCCUGCCUUUGUGAACCUUUUCUUGAAGGAAAGAGUGUGGGUUGGGGCCACUUCCAGUGGAAUCACCAGGAGGGGAGUGGAGGGAGGAGGGAAGGUGCUCAGAAUAAACAUUCAAUGUCCCUGAGCAUUCCUAGAUCAACCGGAUCAGGAUCUCUGAAGGAUGGGGCUCAAAGAUUGGCAUUUGAAAGAACACCCGUGGGGAUCCUGAUGGUGCAAUAAAGUUGUAGAACCACCUCACUAAGUGCUCCCAAUUCCUUUUACAAUUCUCUAUUAUUGCAAUUUAAUCCUUUCACUUCCCCCACUGGGCUGCCCUUGGGCAGGAGUAGGUGUCUUUGUUUACAUACUUGUAGCACAGCCCUGCAGUUGGCUAUCAUAGUGGGCUUUGGGUGCUUAUUUGUGAAAUGAAUGAUGUGUACAAAACUGGAACCCAGAUGUCCUGAUUCCCAGACUCAUAAUUUGCUCUAUCACAUUUUAUCUCUAGAAGCUGCUGAAUUCCUCAGGAAGGCAUUUCCUGGUCCAACUGUGCCUAAAACUCAUAUGCCAAUUUAAAAAGCACAAAUCCACAUAGAAAGAUUCUCUGAAGAAGGAGACAGUGUAUGGGGGAUUGGUUGCUCUAAGGAAGAUUAGAAAAUGAGGUCACCUGAAAGUGAAGGGAGCGGGAUGCACACAAAGUAACAAGCCCCUGGAGCAGGUCUGUUCCAAGUGUGUCACCCAGGUCUCCCCCAAAAACCAUCAAGGAGUUAGAAACAUACUGUGGAAAAGAUCCCUAGAAUGUAACAGUUAAGAAGCUGGAUGCUCAGGAGGUAAUGAGUCAUAGAAUGCUUGUGUGUGGACUGCAUGGAAUCCAGAAAAGGGGAAGCCAUAGGUUAGAAAUUAUAGCGUCUCAGCUGGGCACGGUGGCUCACGCCUGUAAUCCUAGCUCUUUGGGAGGCUGAGGUGGGUGGAUCACCUGAGGUCAGGAGUUCGAGACCAGCCUAGCCAACAUGGCUUCACCGUCUCUACUGAAAAUACAAAAAUUAGCCAGCGUGGUGGCGGACGCCUAUAAUCCCAGCUAUUCAGGAGACUGAGGCAGGAGAAUCGCCUGAACCCGGUGGGGUGGAGGUUGCAGUGAGCCAAGAUCGCGCCACUUCAUUCCAGCCUGGGUGAAAAAGCAAAACUCUUGUCUCAAAAAAAAAAAAAAAAAAGAAGAAGCAAUUAGAAUUUAUAGAGUUGUUGUAAUAUCCAAAGGUAUAGAUGCUCUGAUACCACUGGGUAGUGCUGUUAAUUUAGAAAGAACUGGUCCAAAAGAAUGCGAAUUCAUCUUAGGAGAAAUGGGUGUUUCCACUAAGAACAGCUCAUCCCUUUUCUUUAAUCAUUUAGUAACUCUUUAUAGAUUACCUCCAAUGUGUCAGGGGCUGUAUUCACUGUGUCUUGCCGGAGAUAUGACAGUGGGCAAAACAGGUACAGGACGUACCCUUGAGAACUCACAGUAUUAUUCUUGUUUAUUCAUCAGGUUUCUAACCUGUAAUUUGAUAUGCUUUGUGGAUUUGCCUGGCACUCUGAGCAAAUGACCAAAACCAAUUAUUCUGCCAGGUAGGCCUCUGUUCUCACGUUAAUAACAUUCUAGUUGUGAGUCAUUUAUGACUUCGAUGAGAGAGUAUAAAACAAACAGUUCCAUUAGGGGUUGGUUUUUCCCUGGACAAAUGGGUACAGAGCUGGGCCUGCUGAUGAGCUCAGCAAGAAGUCCCCACCCUGGGAAGCCCUGCCAACUGCCAGCACCUUGUAUUCAGCAGGCUCUCAGCCACACACAGGCUAAGUCACAGCCCCUGGCCCCAUUAGGAAUGUGUGUAUCCUUUCCUGCCUGAAUGGCCCACUGAGAGGUCGUUGGGAAAAUUCUUGGAGCGUCGGAUUCCUGGAUGUCUUGAAUUCCAAAGAGCUUGAAUCAGCACAAAGCUUAGGGCCCAGGGCUGUAUUUUAAAGGAAGACGCAGCAGGGGCAGGUGAUGGUAAAUAGAGGAGAGUGAACAUGGCGGGAACAGACUUCAGGCUGCACCUGUGACUGAGGACAGCCCCCAAAUUCUUAGUUCUGAGAGAAACCCCUGAGGGCCAAAAACAGCAUGCUCAGUUCCUGGUAAUUCCUUAAAAACAGGCUUCUAUCAGACCUGGCUCUAAAAAAACAUUCACUCAGGCUGGAUCCAGGUUUGGGGCCCUGAGGCUUAUAUAUUUGGUACAGGCAACUCUUAAGAAAGAAGUGCAAAAUUAGAUAUAGGGCUUGGAAGCCCUGUUUGAGGAAGCCAGGGACCCUGAAGUGUAAGCUUCAGUAGUUUCACAGUAAAUCCACCUAUGUGUUCAUGCUGGAGAGUAAAAAUAUCCCAUGUCUGUGAUCCCAAAGGAUCAGAGGGCUCUCUGGAUGCUUAGAGGAAGGAAGGAAGCAGGGAUGAGAGCAACUUCAAUGUUUUAAUUCAUUGAUCUUAUUAAUAAAUCACAUUCCCAGCCGGGCGCGGUGGCUCAUGCCUGUAAUCCCAACACUUUGGGAGGCCGAGGCGGGCGGAUCACAAGGUCAGGAGAUCGAGACCAUCCCGGCUAACAUGCUGAAACCCCGUCUCUACUAAAAAUACAAAAAAAAAAAAAAAAAAAAAAUUAGCCGGGCGGGGUGGUGGGUGCCUGUAGUCCCAGCUACUGGCUGAGCCUGGAGAUUGGCAUGAACCCAGGAGGCGGAGCUCGCAGUGAGCCAUGAUCGCGCCACUGCACUCCAGCCUGGGCGACAGAGCGAGACUCCGUCUCAAAAAAUAAAAAUAAAAAAUAAAUCACAUUCCCUUUUCUUCAUCCCUUACAUUCAGUUAAAGGUUUAAAUGCUAGACUUGGCCAGGCAUGGUGACACACGCCUGUAAUCCCAGCACUUUGGGAAGCCAAGGCGGGUGGAUCACUUGAGCCAGGACUUCGAGACCAGCCUGGGCAACAUGGCGAAACCCCAUCUCUACAAAAAAAAAAAUACAAAAAAAUUAACCUGGUGUGGUGCUGCAUGUCUGUAGUCGCAGCUACUUGGUAGGCUAAGGCGGGAGGACCACUUGAGCCCAGGAGGUCGAGGCUGCAGUGAGCCAUGAUUGUGUCACCGCACAACAGCCUGGAUGACAGAGCAAGACCCUGUCUCAAAAAAAAAAAAGUAGAUUCUGAGCUACUCGAGGACAGCAAUCAUAUCUUAUUUGUCUUUGAAUCCCAAGUACUUUGCAAAUAGCAUUUGUUGAAUGGAUGAAUGAAUGAGUGAGUGAGUGAGUGAGUGAGUGAGUGAGUGAGUGAGUGAAUUCUCCCAGGAACUGAGACCUGAUAGUCAUAUAUUCCCCUCUCCCUUCCUCUUGACUGCUCCGGCAGGUGGCAUAGACUAAUCAUGAACUCUGGAGUAAGACCUGAGUUGAAUCCCAGCUUUGCCACAUACCAUCAGGGUGACCCUGGGAAAGUUACCCAACAUCUCUCAGCCUCAGUUUCUUUAGAAGGGAGCCAAUAAUACUUCCCCUCAAGGUUGCAGUGAGAAUCAGUAAUAAAGUGCCUGGUAUGUCACAGUUCUCAACAAAUGUUGACUAUUGUAUUAUUACUUUAGGUCUGGGGUAGGCAAACCAGGCCAUGGGCCAAAUCUGGCCCCCCGCCACCAUUUUUGUAAAUAAAGUUUUAUUGGAACACAGGGAACACAGUCAUGCCUAUUUGUUACUUUUUUUUUUUUUUAAACAGAGUCUCUGUCAUCCAGGCUGGAUUGCAGGGGUGCCGUCUCAGCUUACUGCAACCUCCACCUCCCGGGUUCAAGCAAUUCUUCUGCCUCAGCCUCCUGAGUAGCUGGGAUUAUAGGCAUGCACCACCAGGCCUAGCUAAUUUUUCUUUUUUUUUUUUUUUUCUUUUUUUGCAAUGGAGUUUCGCUCUUGUUGCCCAGGCUGGAGUGCAAUGGCACGAUCUCGGCUCACCACAACCUCUGCCUCCUGGGUUCAAGCAAUUCUUCUGCCUCAGCCUCCUGAGUAGCUGGAACUACAAGCGCAUGCCACCAUGCCCAGCUUAUUUUGGUAUUUUUAGUAGAGACAGGGUUUCACCAUAUUGUCCAGGCUGGUCUCAAACUCCUGACCUCAGGUGAUCUGCCCACCUCAGCCUCCCAAAGUGCUGGGAUUACAGGUGUGAGCCACCGCGCCCAGCCCUAAUUUUGUAUUUUUAGUAGAGACUGGGUUUCUCCAUGUUGGUCAGGCUGGUCUCGAACUCCUGACCUCCGGUGAUCCACUCGCCUUGGCCUCCCAAAGUGCUGGGAUUACAGGUGUGAGCCACCUCACCCAGCCUGUUACUUCUUAUCCAUGGCUACUUUUGUGCUACAAUAGCAUAGUUAAAAAAUUGAUACAGAGACCUUAUGGCAUGCAAAGACUAAAAUAUUUACCACAGAAAAAGUUUGUCAACCACAUACCAUCAGGGUGACCCUGGGAGAGUUACCCAACAUCUUUCUGGCCCUACAGAAAAAGUUUGUCAACUUCUGAUUUAGGCCUUUAUCACUUUACUCUCAACUUGUAGUUGUCUCCUAACUGGUCCCCAAGCCUCUCGUCUUUCUCCCAUUCUGUUCUUUCUCUACUCUGUGGCCAGUUGUUUCUUUUCUUUUCUUUUUUUUUUUUGAGACAGAGUCUCGCUGUGUCGCCCACACUGGAGUUCAGUGGCCCAAUCUUGAUUCACCGCAAGCUCUGCCUCCCAGGUUCAAGCAAUUCUCAUGCCUCAGCCUCCCGAGUAGCUGGGAUUACAGAUGGGUGCCACCACACCCAGCUAAUUUUUGUAUUUUUAGUAGAGACAGGGUUUCACCAUGUUGGCCAGGCUGGUCUAGAACUCCUGACCUCAGAAUGAUCCUCCAGACUCAGCCUCCCAAAGUGCUAGGAUUACAGGUGUCAACCACCAUGCCCUGCCCUUCUUUUUCUUGUUUUUUUUUAGAUGUGGUGUCUCUAAAAAGCCAUUGCGGCCAAACUUUUUUGUUUUUUUUGUGUUGUGUUUUUUGAAAUAGUGUCUCUUUCUGUCACCCAGGCUGGAGUGCAGUGGCAUGAUCAUGGCUCACUGCAGCCCCAGACUCCUGGGCUCAAACAAUCCUCCCACCUCAGCCACAGGAAUAGUUGGGACUACAGGCACACAUCACCACACCCAGCUGAUUACUUUUUUUUUUUUUUUUGAGACGGGGUCUUGCUCUAUCGGCUAGGCUAGAGUGCAGUGGCGUGAUCUUGGCUCACUACAACCUCCACCUCCUGGGUUCAAGCAAUUUCUCUGCCUCAGCCUCCCAAGUAGCUGGGACUACAGAUGCCUGCCACCAUGCCUGGCUAAUUUUUGUAUUUUUAGCAGAGAUGGGGUUUCACCAUAUUGUCCAGGCUGGUCUUGAACUCCUGACCUUGUGAUCCACCCGCCUCGGCCUCCCAAAGUGCUGGGAUUACAGGCGUCAGCCACUGCGCCUGGCCCCAAUUUUUUUUUUUUUUUUGUAGAGACGAAGUCUCACUAUGUUGCCGAGGCUGAUCUUGAACUCCUGGGCUCCAGCAAUCUGCCUGCCUUGGCCUUCCGAAGUGCUGGGAUUGCAAGCAUGAGCCACUGUGUCCAACCCAGAUGGACACUUUGGAUAGAGUCUACUAGGCUUGCCUUUAGCUUUCUGCUGUCCUGUCGUCUCAUCGCAUCCUGUUAUGUAGUCCAUAGCUCACUUCAUUCCAGGGGGCAGGUUGAAAGCAGACUCAGCUGUUUGUCCUGGGCUGAUCCCUGAGUUCAUGUUGCUGUUUCCCAUAACUUCGCUUUAUAAUCUGGCACCAGGGAGCCAGUGGCCAGGGACAGUCAGUGAGCUUACAUGUUUUCUUGGAAAUCAUCACCCAUCCCUGGGCUUGGCCUUUAGUUUUCGUCUUGCGGUCCUGUCUUGCUGUCUUCAUUGCUUGCCCUGUAGAUUGGAUUUUUGACUCUGAGUACCUGGAGCAUUUGAUCCUGCCUUUGUUCUCCUAGGCACUGAUCCAUCAGAACUCAGGGAAAACACAGGCUUAGAAAUCAACACUGGCAUCAUCCCUGCACUGCAUGGCCAGAUCUGUGCCUCACUCCACAUAUCUUGGCCCCAGUAUGAUUUCAUGUACAUUCCCAAGAACUUUUGAUGUAGACCUGGAUUAUAGCUACUAUGUUUUAUUGGGAUUCGGUGUUGUAGCAUGGGGUGUUGACAUUGUCCCUUUUUGGGAACCCACCCCCAACUCCAAUUUCUUUACCAAUCCCAGUCUGCAACCUAAUUCCUGAUUUUGAGCUUCAACUUGUUCUUCUGUUUUUGGAUACUGUCCCAGACUAUUUUCUAUCAGUGUUCUGAGUUUUCUUGAGUUUUUUGAACCGAGUACCUGUGCUCUCUCUCUCUGCACCACUGCUGCCACCAUCCUAGUGCUGAGGCCAACUCUCAGAACUCAAAUGGGCAGACAUCAGGGAUCACGGGUCCAGAAGUAUAAAUAGUGGCUCAUCUCACACAAUAGAGUUCAUUCACUCAUGGAAAGCACUUAGCGUAGUAUCUGGCCCAGAGUAAGUCUAUAUAAGCAUUACUGAUAAUUAGGAUGUGCCAAAAUGAAGCACAUACUCUCUCUUAUACAGGGAGAUCUUUGGGGUAAAAAAUGAAGGCAAAUCACCAAGGAAUGUGGUUCAUUGGCAUAAUAAUAUGUAAUUUUUUUUUUUUUUUGAGACGGAGUUUCGCUCUUGUUGCCCAGGCUGGAGUGCAGUGGCACAAUCUUGGCUCUCCGCCUCCCGGGUUCAAGCAAUUCUCUUGCCUCGGCCUCCCAAGUAGUUAGGAUUACAGGCAUGUGCCACCACACCUGGCUAAUAAUAUGUAGCUUUUUAAAAAUUAUUAUUAUUAUUUUUUUUAAGACGGUCUCACUUUGUCACCCGGGCUGGAGUGCAAGUGGCUCAAUCACAGCUCACUGCAGCCUUGACCUCCUGGGCUCAAGCAAGCCUUCCACCUCAGCCUCCUGAGUAGUUGGAACUACAGGCGAGUGCCACCACAUCCGGCUAAUUUAAAAAAUUUUUUUGUAGAGGUGACGUCUUGCUAUGUUACUCAGGCUGGUCUCAGACUCCUGGGCUCAAGCAGUCCUCCUGCCUUGGCCUCCCAAAGUACUGGGAUUACAGGCACGAGCCACUGUUCCCAGCCUAAUCUGUAGUUUUUAAAGAAAUGUUAUUCACAUACUAUAAAAUUCACACUCUUCUAAAGGUUUUUAGUAUAUUAACAAAGUUAUGUAACCAUCCCCGCUAUCUAAUUCUAGAACAUUUUCAUCAGCCUAUACCCAUUCGCAGUCAUUUCCCGUUUCUCCCACCCUCGGUCUCAGGCUGCCAUGAAUCUACUUUCAGUGUCCAUGGAUUUGCCUAUUCUGGACAUUCCAUGAAAACGGAAUCAUAUAUACUAUGUGGCCUUUUGUUUCUGGGUUUUUUUUUUUUUUUUUUGAGAUGGAGUCUCGCUCUGUCGCGCAGGCUGGAGUGCAGUGGUACGAUCUUGGCUCACUGCAACCUCUGCCUCCCGGGUUCAAACGAUUCUCCUGCUUCAUCCUCCUGAGUAGCUGGGAUAACAGGCACACACCACCAUGACUGGCUAAUUUGUGUACUUUUUUAAAAUAGAGAUGGGGUUUCACCAUGUUGGCCAGGCUGGUCUCGAACUCCUGACCUCAGGUGAUCUGCCCGCCUUGGCCUCCCAAAGUGCUGGGAUUACAGGCAUGAGCCACUGCGCCAGGCCUUGUGUCUGUUCUUUCACUUAGCACAACGUCCUUAAGGUUCAUCCAUGUUGGAGCAUGUCUCAGUACAUCUCAUGGCUGCAUAAUAUAGCCUAUUGUAUGGAUAUACCACAUUGUGUUCAGCCAUUCAUCAGUUGAUGAGCAUUUGUGUUGUUUCUACUUUUGGCUAUUGUGAAUAGUGCUGCUAUGAACAUUUGUGUACCAGUUUUAUGUGGACACUUGUUUUCAUUUCUCUUGGGUGUAUACCUAGGAGUGGAAUUGCUGGGGUAUAUGGUACCUCUGUUUAACUUUUUGAGAAAUUGCCAAAUUGUUUUCCACAGCAGCUGCACUGUUUUACAUUCCUACCUUCAGUGGAUGAGGGCUUCAAUUUCUACACACAUCCUUAUUGACACUUGUUAUGGUCCCUCUUUUUAUUAUAUCCAUUCUAGUGGAUAUGGAGUAGUAUCUCGUGGUUGUGAUUUGCACUUCUCUAAUAACUAAUAAUGUUGAGCAUCUUUUCUUUUCUUUCUUUCUUUUUCUUUUUUCUUUUUUGAGAUGGAGUCUCGCUCUGUUGCCCAGGCUGGAGUGCAGUGGCACAGUCUCAGGUCACUGCAACCUCCAACUCCUGAGUUAAAGCGAUUCUUUUGCCUCAGCCUCCCGAGUAGCUGGAAUUACAGGUGCCUGCCACCAUGCCUGGCUAAUUUUUUUGUAUUUUUAGUAGAGACAGGGUUUUGCCAUGUUGGCCACGCUGGUCUUGAACUCCUGACCUCAGGUGAUCUGCCCGCCUCGGCCUCCAAAGUGCUGGGAUUGUAGGCAAGAGCCAUCACGCCCAGUUGAGCAUCUUUUCUUGUGCUUAUUGGCCACUUGUAUAUCUUCUUGGGAAAAAUAUCUAUAGCAAUAUAUAACUUUACACACAAAUAUCCAUCUUUUCUAGUACAGUCUGAGACUGUGCAGGAGGUCUGACAAUUGCUUCUUCAGUUACCAUCAGUGGUUAGAGUGGAGGGGACAUAUCCCGAGACAUGCUUGGAGGAGAAGGAAACUGUGUUGGUUGAUAUUUUUCCUCAAAGUUGCUUCUCUUGACUGUCAGGUGGCAUAUGACUGUGGGGAUUAAAUUGAGUACUGAAUAUGGGCAGUGUGAUAUUCAGCAGCUCACACUGGUUCAGUGAUAUCAAUUAUUUAAGUCCUGCAUCUGGCCGAGUGCAGUGGCUCAUGCCUGUAAUCCCAGCAUUACGGAGGCCGAGGUGGGAGAAUCACUUGAGUCUGGGAGGUCGAGGCUGUAGUGAGCCAUGAUUGCACCACUAUACUCCCGCCUGUGUAAAAGAGCAAGUCUGUGUCUCAAAAAAAAAAAAAAAAAGGAAGAAAGAAAGGAAGAGAAGGAGGAAGGGAAAGGAAGGGAGGGAGGGAGGAAGGAAGGAAGAAAGGGCCGGGCGCGGUGGCUCACGCCUGUAAUCCCAGCACUUUGGGAGGCCGAGACGGGCGGAUCACGAGGUCAGGAGAUCGAGACCAUCCUGGCUAACACGGUGAAACCCUGUCUCUACUAAAAAUACAAAAAUUAGCCGGGCAUGGUGGCGCGUGCCUAUAGUCCCAGCUACACGGGAGGCUGAGGCAGGAGAAUGGCGUGAACCCGGGAGGCGGAGCUUGCAGUGAGUCGAGAUCGCGCCACUGCACUCCAGCCUGGGCGACAGAGCGAAACUCCGUCUCAAAAAGAAAAAAAAAAAAAAAAAAAAAAGGAAGAAAGGAAGGAAGGAAAGAAGGAAAGAAAGAAAAACACAAAAGUUCUUCAUCUGUUCUGAUUGGCUGAUGUCUGAGCCAUAAUCCUUAUUGAACAUUUGGAAUACCAUGCCUGCCUAUACAAUAUCAAGCACUUGUGCCUGGCAAAUGCUUGGUAAUUGCUACUUUCCUUUCUUUCUUUCUUUCCUUCUUUCCUUCCUUCCUUUCUUUCCCUUCCCUUUCCUUCCCCCUCCCUCCCUCCUUUCCUUCCUGCCUCCCUCCCUUCCUCCCUUCCUUCCUCUCUCUCUUUCUCUCUCUCUUUUCUUUUUUUUUCUUUUCUGAAACGGAGUUUUGCUCUUAUUGCCCAGGCUGGAGUGCAAUGGCACGAUCUCGGCUCACUGCAACCUCUGCCUUCCGGGUUCAAGCGAUUCUCCUGCCUCAGCCUCCUGAGUAGCUGGGAUUACAGGCGCCCGCCACCAUCUAAUUUUCUGUAUUUUAAAUAGAGACAGGGUUUCACUAUGUUGGUCAGGCUGGUCUCAAACUCCUGACCUCAGGCGAUCCACCUGCCUCAGCCUCCCAAACUGCUGGGAUUACAGGUGUGAGCCACCACGUCCGGCCUCUCUCUUUCUUUUCUUUUUUUCGACAGGGUCUCACUCUGUUGCCCAGGCUGGAGCACAGAGGUAUGAUCAUGGCUCAUUGCAGCCUUGAACUGCUGGACUCAAGCAAUCCUCCUGCCUCAGCUUCCCGAGUAGCCGGGAUUACUUACAAGCAUGUGCCACUGUGCCCAGCUAAUGUUUAAAAUGAUAUCUUUCCCUUUACUUUUGGGCUCCUUUAUGUCACUCCAUCACUGACAGUAGGCCAUCCACGGCUCGUAUCUAUGUUUCACUGUUCUGCAUCCCUGAAUUUUCACCUCAUCCUGGAUCCUGAAGCCUGCUUUGAUGCUCUUUGGUGAGUGUUCUGGUUCUUUAUUAUGAAAAUGAGAUUUUUCUGUACAGCCCUUUGCCUUGGCAACUUUGGCAAUUGCUCCUAUUUCCAAAGUUGCCCCUGGAGCCACAAUGUCUAUUAAUGUGAGGGUCCACUCUUAAAGGAAACAUUUCUGUACGGAUACAUUGGGUUCACACUUACUAAUGUUCUCACUCACUGAUAGCCGUGGUGGCCAUCAACUGAUGUAAAUGUUUUUUUUUCUUUUUUUUUUUUUUUGAGACAGAGUCUCGCACUGUCACCCAGGCUGGAGUGCAGUGGCGUGAUCUCGGCUCACUGCAACCUCUGCCUCCCAGGUUCAAGCGAUUCUCCUGCCUCAGCCACCCGAGUAGCUUGGAUUACAGGCGCGCACCACCAGGGCCAGCUAAUUUUUGUAUUUUUAGUAGAGAUGGGGUUUCACAAUGUUGGCCAGGAUGGUCUUGAUCUCUUGACCUCGUGAUCUGCCCGCCUCAGCUUCCCAAAGUGCUGGGAUUACAGGCGUGAGCCACCGGCGCCCAACCAACUUAUGUAAAUGUUGAAAACGAAAGUGUUAAUUUUGAGAUUGUUUGCUAAUGCUGAACAAAUGGAAACAAUUUAAAUGUUAUUAACAGGGACUGGCUAAAUAAAGCAUGAUACAGCCAUAUAUUGCACAGGUUGGCAUACUUUUUCUGUAACGAGCUAGAUAGUAAACUCUCCGGGCAUUGUAGGCCACAGUCUCUGAUGCAACCUUUCAAUUCUGCUACUAUAGUGCAAAAGCAGGCUGAGACUCUAUGGAAAGGAAUAGGCAUGGCUAUGUUCCCAUACAACUUCUUUUAGGUGCUGGGCCAUAUUUGGUCUAGAGGCCAUACUUUGCUGACCCUAAUAUAAUAAGUCUUACUAUGUGACCAUUAAAAAGAACCAAAUAGAAUUAUAUGUACUGACAAAGAUAUCCAUCAAGUUGUUUUUUUGUUUUGUUUUGUUGAGAUGGAGUCUCGCUCUUGUUGCCCAGGCUGGAGUGCAAUGGCGUGAUCUCAGCUCACUGCAACCUCCGCCUCCCAGGUUCAAGUGAUUUUCCAGACAGCCUCCUGAGUAGCUGGGAUUACAGGCGUGCGCCACUAC
rnacentral:lncRNA from 1 species